UUUUCCCAUGUUUUGCAUUGACCCCAGUUUGCCAGCUGGGAGUAGGCUACUAGAGUGUGACCAUCUUGACUUAGGUCAAUGCCGAAAAACGAGUCGUGUGUGUACCAAAUGACGAAAACGCCCACAGUUGCUAUGCCAACGUAGAGUCCAAUGACCUGCAUAUAGCGAAAUAAAAUCCAUGCACUAAUCAAUGAAUCGUCGCUUCUGCGAGGAGCUUUUUUCAUGAUGUAUU
rnacentral:lncRNA from 1 species